rnacentral:misc_RNA from 1 species
ACCUCAGUUUUGUGAAUGUUUCUUAGUCUUACAGAGUGUUUUUGUGAUGAAUACAUUGUGCUAUUAAAAGUGUUUUUCUUUAUUUCACAAAAGUGGUGAACAUAAAAAUCCAAAAGAUUUUGGUAAAAGAGUAUAGUAAAGAGACCAAGAGAGUCAAUAUUCAGCAUGGAUCAUAAUCCUACCAACCCGGCGGAUAACAUGACGAUUCUAACGUCCAAAUAUAUUAGAAACUCUCGUGCCAUAGCCGUUGUUUGGGGUACAUUUACAAUCUGUAUUGGGAUCCUCAACAUUGUAAUCCUUAUCCAAGAUCAAUGGGUCGGGGAUACAUCUGAGUCCAGAAGCCCAGGGCAUUUCGGGCUUUGGCGUUUUUGUACAGUUCUCUCAGAUGCAAAUACCGGUGAAGGCUCUUUGGUUUGCAAGGGGAGGCUUGACGACUUUGCAAGCAUACUUAAUCCAGCCUUUAGAACCUCCACUGUGUUUGUAGGCCUUUCAGUGAUUGUGACAACUCUUUGUGUGCUGGCCUUUCUUCUAUUCUUCUUUAUGAAAGCCACUUCUGUUUUUGAGAUUUGUGGAACCAUGCAGUUCUUAUCAGGCUUUUGUCUCGCCAUUGGACUCGUUGCAUUUCCUGCAGGAUGGGAUGAUGAUGAAGUUCGUGGUAUCUGUGGGUCCCAUUCUGCAAACUAUGAUCUUGGUGGCUGUGGAUUUCGUUGGGCUUUCAUACUAGCCAUCAUUGUUCUUUUUGACAUCCUUAUUCUUGGAUGUCUUGCCUUUACACUGGCACAUCGUGAAAUCAAACUCCCUCCUCAAGAGUCGCACUACAUGAAUCCUGCAUCCAUCUACAAGGGUGAAAUCAAUCCAGGAUUUGUGGGAGACACUCAGUCUAUCGCUGGCUCCCGAAAAUCGGUCAAUCUCCAACCUGUAAUGAUGUUACCCCACCCAUUACACGACGUGGAUGGAUAUUCAGAGUUUAGCCAUCCCCGUGGAAGACCCAUGGGAGGAAAUCCUUCAACUCUUUAUCAUCGACAGUAUGGAUCCUCCAUCCAGAAUUUUCAACUUUAAUAACCGAUUGUUUUUUUCUUUCUUUUUUUCCUUCAAACCACUUAUUUCGUGAUUUUUUAGAUAAAGAAUACUAUUGUACGAUGGAAAUUCAGCUUACCUGUACAAACAUAAUUAUCGAUACAUCACCAUAAAUACAAACUUAACGAAAACUUGUACCAUUUUGACGUCCUUUCGUACCUCUGAAUAAGACAAUUAGUUUUUUCAAGAAACACCCGUGUUGGUGCAUCAUUUUUGCCAUGAAUUGAAAUCCAAAUCAAAUACAACCUUUUCUCUAUUUGUCUAUAUUUACCAAAUGCUCAACCUAGUACCCCAUAUUAUGUACAAUUAUCUAUUAAUUCAACUGCAUAAAUUAUUUUUUCUCAAAAAUAGGAUUAAAAAUGUUUAAUUUUAUUUUUGCAACUUUGUUAUAGUUCAAUUAGGUAAAGUUUUUUCUCAUUCAAAUUUAAAAAUAUAUUUGACAAUAUAUUGUCUGCUCAAAUUUAAUACUUUCAUACAAAUUAAUUAUUUCUUGUUUUUCUUAAUUAUACAUUUAUUAUUAAUAUAGCUAUGUAGUUUGUGCUUUUUCUUCACUUACAAACAAAUGUAUUUCUUUCUAGUGAGAAGUGAUAAGAUAGUUUUUUUUUUUUUUUCUAUAAAAAUAAUGAACUAUCUUUCUUUCUCAUACUAUCUCUAUUGUAUUUCGUUUUUAUUUGUAUUGUUUAUGCUGUUUUGAUGUAAAAGAUAGAAAUAGAAUUAAAAGAACGUUUUUGUUCACUGACAUAUA